rnacentral:rRNA from 1 species
AUUGAACGCUGGCGGCAGGCCUAACACAUGCAAGUCGAACGAGUGGCGGACGGGUGAGUAAUGUCUGGGAAACUGCCCGAUGGAGGGGGAUAACUAAUGGAAACGGUAGCUAAUACCGCAUACCAUCGGAUGUGCCCAGAUGGGAUUAGCUAGGAGGGGGGGUAAUGGCUAACCUAGGCGACGAUCCCUAGCUGGUCUGAGAGGAUGACCGGCCAAACUGGAACUGAGACACGGUCCAGACUCAUACGGGAUGCAGCGGUGGGGAAUAUUGCACAAUGGGCGCAAGCCUGAUGCAGCAAUGCCGCGUGUAUGAAGAAGGCCUUCGGGUUGUAAAGUACUUUCAGCGAGGAGGCGUUACUAGCAGAAGAAGCACCGGCUAACUCCGUGCCAGCAGCCGCGGUAUAC